GCCUACGGCCAUAUCACCCUGAAAGCGCCGAUCUCGUCUGAUCUCGGAGGCUAAGCAGGGUCGGGCCUGGUUAGUACCUGGAUGGGAGACCGCCUGGGAAUACCAGGUGCUGUAGGC
rnacentral:rRNA from 1 species